rnacentral:rRNA from 1 species
CAGUCGCGUCUGCUAGAACUCAGCCUUGCUUUGGCUUGGUGCAUUUUCUAGUUGACGGGCCAGCAUCAGUUUUGACUGCUAGAAAAAGGUUAGAGAAAUGUGGCACCUUCGGGUGUGUUAUAGUCUCUGAUUGUAUAUAGUGGUUGGGACUGAGGAACUCAGCACGCCGCAAGGCCGGGUUUUUAACACGUACGUGCUUAGGAUGUUGGCAUAAUGGCUUUAAGCGACCCGUCUUAGAAACACGGACCAAGGA